ensembl:lncRNA
GAGGGGCCAGCCAGGUGACCCUGGGGGCCUUGAAGCUGGGAGGAAGCUGGGCUGGGGCUUGGCUGCCAGAACAAUCCAGGCUCCACUCCAGCCCAUCAGGGGGCUUGAGGCUGAGUGGGCAAGAUAAACCGUUUCAGUGGUUUUUAGGAGCCCUAAUCAAUUGCAAGGCAGGGCAAAGCCCUCAGGGACAGAUAAAGCCAGCCCCGCGCUCCAAGCCCAGUUGGAGCCAACGUUUGUGUGGUUUGAACUUUCGUGUGGUUUGGAAAGUCCGCCCGUCUUUGCUGGAGUGGAUUACUCCGUUCCCAAACUGCAAUGCAGUGACGCGAAUGGCCCUGGACCCCACAAACCAGCCCUGAAAUGAUAUUCCGUCUUCACUGCGGCUGCCUCCAGGACACAUAGUCGCCCCGCGUGGGGGAAGCCCAGGACACUAGGGACACCGCCUGGAGCCUGGGCGCAUAGCACCCAGUCGGGUUUUUUUUUUUUUUCCUCCUUCCAGCUUGAGGUUUCUUAUUUAACCUCUAAGGUGCCAGAAGAUCUGGAAGGCUCACAGGCAGGGCUGUAGCCGGCUGGGGAGAGAUGAGCACCACAGAUACCAGCACCGCCAGUGGGCACUCCAUGUGUCAGUGUCUGCAGUGCUUGUGUGCAGCAGAGCAAGGCUGCCGGUGAGGUGGCUGGACGCUGGGCGGGCAGGCACCCAUCUGACAAUGCCACGUCCCCUGGGAAGCCAGUGCCGGCCUGUGGGGGCCACAGCAAAAUAGAAUCAGGAACAGGUGCUGCCUGGGAGGGAAACUCGGGCGCCUGGCAGAGCUCAGCAAUGCUCGCACCCUCCAGGGACCUUCCUGCCUCCACAGAAGGUAGGGACAGAGAGAGGCGAGCAUGGAGAGAGAGAAAGGGAAGUGGGAAGAAAUUGGUCACGGAGGAGGCUAUUUUUAUUCUUUGCUACAGCUGCACGCAUUGCUCUGACCAACUAGGCAGAGAAAAAUCAGACUGGUUCCUGCUGAAACGAACGUUAAACUUGGGGUAGGGGGCAGGGAGUGGGAGGUGCACAGGAAAAGGGUGAAGAGGGGAGAAAUCCCUGAGGAUACAGCACAGUCUCCAGAAAACUUCACUGCACAAAACACCACCCCUACCCCGCCCUCCACCACCCCAGAUGCCUCGGCCUUAACCAUGGCUGCCAGAAGUGGGCCAUCCUGUGCCUUCUGGGUGACACCUUGGGCAAGACCCAGUCAAGAUUAGGCAUUUGUGCAUCACUGUCUUCUGCUGUUGGGCCUCGUAGAGCCUUAUCCCUUCCAGCAAGGGGCAAGACUCCUGGGUGGUGUCAGUUACCAUGGUCACCCGAGCACCCGGUUGUUGUUCAGUCACUCAGUCGUGUCUGACUCUGCGACCCCAUGGAGUGCAGCACGCCAGGCUUCCCUGUCCAUUACCAUCUCCCAGAGUUUGCUCAAACUCAUGUCCACUGAGUCAGUGAUGCCAUCCAACAUCUCAUUCUCUGUCAUCCCCUUCUCCUGCCCUCAGGCUUUCCCAGCAUCAGAGUCUUUUCCAAUUGAGUCGGCUCUUCUCAUCAGGUGGCCAAAGUAUUGGAGCUUCAGCAUCCAAUCCAGCAAACAAUCCUUCCAGUGAAUAUUCAGCGUUGAUUUUCUUUAGGAUUGACUGGUUUGAUCUUGCUGUCCAAGGGACUCUCAAAUUUCCCUUGUGCCCAUUUGCAGCCAAACCCACUCUUUAACUCUCAGUAU